rnacentral:rRNA from 1 species
GAUGAACGCUGGCGGCGUGCCUAAUACAUGCAAGUCGAGCGAACAGACGAGGAGCUUGCUUCUCUGACGUUAGCGGCGGACGGGUGAGUAACACGUGGAUAACCUACCUAUAAGACUGGUAUAACUUCGGGAAACCGGAGCUAAUACCGGAUAAUAUAUUGAACCGCAUGGUUCAAUAGUGAAAGACGGUUUUGCUGUCACUUAUAGAUGGAUCCGCGCCGCAUUAGCUAGUUGGUAAGGUAACGGCUUACCAAGGCAACGAUGCGUAGCCGACCUGAGAGGGUGAUCGGCCACACUGGAAAUGAGACACGGUCCAGACUCCUACGGGAGGCAGCAGUAGGGAAUCUUCCGCAAUGGGCGAAAGCCUGACGGAGCAACGCCGAGUGAGUGAUGAAGGUCUUCGGAUCGUAAAACUCUGUUAUUAGGGAAGAACAAAUGUGUAAGUAACUAUGCACGUCUUGACGGUACCUAAUCAGAAAGCCACGGCUAACUACGUG